rnacentral:rRNA from 1 species
UACGUAGGGGGCGAGCGUUGUCCGGAAUUAUUGGGCGUAAAGAGCGUGUAGGCGGUUCUGUAAGUCUGCUGUGAAAUCCUGGGGCUCAACCCUGGGCGUGCAGCGGAUACUGCCGGACUAGAGGGUAGUAGAGGCGAGUGGAAUUCCGAGUGUAGCGGUGAAAUGCGCAGAUAUUCGGAGGAACACCAGUAGCGAAGGCGGCUCCCUGGGCUACACUUGACGCUGAGACGCGAAAGCUUGGGGAGCGAACAGG